CCUACGGGUGGCAGCAGUGGGGAAUAUUACACAAUGGGGGAAACCCUGAUGCAGCGAAGCCGCGUGAGGGAAGAAGGAUUUCGGGAUUGAAAACUCUAUCAGCAGGGAAGAUAAUGACUGUACCUGACUAAGAAGCCCCGGCUAACUACGGGCCAGCCGCCGCGAUAAUACGUAGGGGGCAAGCGUUAUCCGGAUUUACUGGGUGUAAAGGGUGCGUAGGUGGCAGUGCAAGCCAGAUGUGAAAGCCCGGGGCGCAACCCCGGUAGUGCAUUUGAAACUGUCCAGCUGGAGUGCAGGAGAGGUAAGCGGAAUUCGUAGUGUAGCGGUGAAAUGCGUAGAUAUUAGGAGGAACACCAGUGGCGAAGGCGGCUUACUGGACUGUAACUGACACUGAGGCACGAAAGCGUGGGGAGCAAACAGGAUUAGAUACCCUAGUAGUC
rnacentral:rRNA from 1 species